rnacentral:lncRNA from 1 species
GGUGGGGUCAUUUAGUGCAAACAUUCAAAUUUCUCAGAUGGUAAGGUUGUCGCAUAUCAAAUGAAAGAACAUAAAGCGUACAUUUCAAAUUUCAAAUUGACGUCUCCCAAAAAUGGGUUGGAUGGGGUCAUUGAGUGCAAAAAAUAAAUGUUCUUUUAAGGUAGGGUUGUUGUAUAUCAAAUGAAAGGUCAUGAUGUGUACAUUUGAAAUAUCAAAUUCCCGACCUUCAAAAAUUUGUUGGAUAGGGUUAUUAAGUGCAAAAAUCAAACUUUUUAAAAUAUGGCGUUGUCGCAUAUCAAAUGAAAGCUCAUCUACCCUGUGUUACAUAUAUCACACUUCCGAUCUCAAAAAUGUAGGCGGAUGAGGUCAUUAAGUGUAAAAAGCGAAAAGUGUCAGAAGGUAUGCUUGUCGUAUAUCAAACGAAAGGUCGUACAAAGAACAUUACGAAAGCAUCACUUCUACAGGAAAGACCUUUCAAUUGUUUUACAAACAAUUGAGAUACUAGUUUUUUUUUUUAAGGUCUUUCCCCUACAUGGGAAAGACCUUAUUGUUUUUCUAAUGUUUUUUUUUCUUUUCUUUUUUUUUUUUUUUUUUUUUUUUUCUUCCAACAUUUUUUUGACAUGCCCGCCUCUUGUUUCUGUUGAAGUUAUUAAGACCAAAUAUGGACCAUCGCUAGAUCUCACCAAGAUGUAUUACCAAAUGACCCUGUUAAGGAUUUCAUCAUCCCCUUUGGAAGUUAUCUCCCUUUUAUUGAUUUUUUUCAACAUGGCCUUCCCUCGUUGGUUUUAAAGAUAUCAUGACUUUAAUUGGACAUAAUGUAGAUCUCAUCAUGAUGUAUUACCAUGUGAGGCUGAAUAGGAUUUCAUCGUCCCCUAUGA